GUUGCUUCUUUACUAAUUGAGUUGUUAGACCAUUCAUGUGAUUACUCAUAGGAAGGAGCAUAUAUCCAAGAAAUGCCAGUUUUAAACAGCAUGGUGCUCUUUUCUCUUGCAUUGUGUUACCUGUCUUCUGGUAUAUUU